rnacentral:rRNA from 1 species
AUGAGGGAUUCUAUUCUAGUGGCGAGUGGUCACGGCGGCAGCAUGCAGCCACUGGGGGUGGGGCUCCGCUGGGAGCAUCAUGUCAGGAAGAUUCGGACAUUGCAUCAAUUCCUGUGCGGCCAAUGCGGGCUCAAAACGUCACCAUGA